AUUGAACGCUGGCGGCAUGCCUUACACAUGCAAGUCGAACGGCAGCACGGGAGCAAUCCUGGUGGCGAGUGGCGAACGGGUGAGUAAUGUAUCGGAACGUGCCCAGUCGUGGGGGAUAACGCAGCGAAAGCUGUGCUAAUACCGCAUACGAUCUAUGGAUGAAAGCGGGGGAUCGCAAGACCUCGCGCGAUUGGAGUGGCCGAUAUCAGAUUAGCUAGUUGGUGGGGUAAAGGCUCACCAAGGCGACGAUCUGUAGCUGGUCUGAGAGGACGACCAGCCACACUGGAACUGGGACACGGUCCAGACUCCUACGGGAGGCAGCAGUGGGGAAUUUUGGACAAUGGGCGCAAGCCUGAUCCAGCAAUGCCGCGUGCAGGAUGAAGGCCUUCGGGUUGUAAACUGCUUUUGUACGGAGCGAAAAGGCCCUCUCUAAUACAGGGGGCUCAUGACGGUACCGUAAGAAUAAGCACCGGCUAACUACGUGCCAGCCGCCGCGGUAA
rnacentral:rRNA from 1 species